GGUGCUGUGUCAGAGCGGUUUAAUGUGCCGGAUUCCAAAUCCGGUGGGGUGUUGUUGCCCCCGUGGGUUCGAAUCCCACCAGCACCUCCA
rnacentral:tRNA from 1 species